rnacentral:rRNA from 1 species
UACGAAGGGGGCUAGCGUUGCUCGGAAUCACUGGGCGUAAAGGGCGCGUAGGCGGCCAUUCAAGUCAGAGGUGAAAGCCCAAGGCUCAACCUUGGAAUUGCCUUUGAUACUGUUUGGCUUGAGACCGGAAGAGGUUAGUGGAACUGCGAGUGUAGAGGUGAAAUUCGUAGAUAUUCGCAAGAACACCAGUGGCGAAGGCGGCUAACUGGUCCGGUUCUGACGCUGAGGCGCGAAAGCGUGGGGAGCAAAAGGG